CAACAAUAAUCAUAAAAACAAUGGCUGCAACUUUAGUAGGAGGUGCAUUUCUCUCUGCUUCAAUUCAAACCAUAAUGGACAAACUAACUUCAUCAGAGUUUCUAUCAUUCAUCACCAACAACAACAACCUCAACAUCACACUUCUAAAACAGUUAGAGACAACACUCCUCACUCUUCAUGCUGUUCUUGAUGAUGCAGAGAACAAACAAAUCAACAAUCUUGCAAUCAAACAAUGGCUUGAUGAACUGAAAGAUGCAAUCUUUGAUUCAGAAGAUUUGCUUAACCAAAUCAGCUAUGAAUCUCUUCUAUGCAAAGGUGAAAAUGUUAGUGAUCAGGUUUGGAACUUUUUUUCAUCUCCUUUUCAAAGUUUGUAUGGUGAUUUGAAUACCCAAAUGAAGAAUUUGUGUGAAAGACUUCAACUUUUUGCACAACAAAGAGAUAUACUUGGUUUGAAAACUUUAGGUUUUAGGGUUUCUCUUAGGAGGGUUACUAGUUCAAUUGUUGAUCAAUCUUUUAUGGUUGGUAGGAAGGGUGAUAAAGAGAAACUUGUUAAUUUGUUGCUAUUAGAUGAUGGGAAUGGAAAUUGUAAUGUUGGUGUUGUACCAAUUUUAGGAAUGGGAGGUGUUGGUAAAACAACCCUAGCUCAAAUUGUUUACAAUGAUAAAGAAGUUGAAGGACAUUUUGAUUUAAAAGCUUGGGUUUGUUUGUCUGAGGAGUUUGAUGUUUUGAGAGUGUCGAAAACUUUGCUUGAAUCUGUCACUUCGAGUGUUUGGGAAAGCAAUAAUCUCGACUUUAUUCGAGUCAAAUUAAAGCAAAGUUUGAAGGAUAAAAAGUUUUUGUUUGUGUUGGAUGACAUGUGGAAUGAUAGUUAUAGUGAUUGGCAUGAGCUGGUGACUCCUUUCGUUGAUGGAAGAUCUGGAAGUAGGGUGAUUAUCACAACACGUCAACAGAAAGUUGCUGAGGUCACGCAUACAUUUCCUAUCCAUAAACUAGAACCUCUAUCGUAUGGAGAUUGUUGGUCUUUACUCGCAAAGCAUGCAUUCGGAAGUGAAGAUUUUUGUGGUAGUAAAUACGCAAGCCUAGAAGCGAUUGGCAGGAAGAUUGCCAAAAAGUGUUGCGGAUUGCCAAUAGCUGCCAAAACACUUGGAGGACUUCUGCGCUCAAAAGUAGAUGCAAAAGAGUGGAAUGCAAUUUUAAACAGUGACAUAUGGAAUCUUCCAAAUGAUGAUGUUCUCCCUGCUUUGCUUUUGAGUUAUCAAUAUCUUCCUUCUCAUUUGAAAAGAUGUUUUGCUUAUUGUUCAAUUUUUCCAAAGGACUAUCCUCUUGAUAGGAAGCAAAUGGUUUUGUUGUGGAUGGCAGAAGGAUUCCUUGAAGAUUCUCAGGGAAAAAGAACAAUGGAGGAAGUAGGUGAUGACUACUUUGUUGAAUUGUUAUCUAGAUCUUUAAUCCAACAAUCAAGUGAUGAUUUUGGAGGACAAAAGUUUUUCAUGCAUGAUCUUGUCAAUGAUUUAGCUACAAUUGUAUCUGGAAAAAGUUGUUGUAGGCGUGAACGUGGUGACAACAUCUCUGAAAAUGUGCGUCAUCUGUCAUAUAACCAAGAAGAGUAUGACAUUUUCAAGAAGUUUGAGACUUUCUAUGAUUUCAAAUGCUUGCGAAGUUUCCUACCAAUUGGCCACUGGCGGCGACAAUGUCACUUAUCUAAAAAAGUGGUUGUUGAUUUGAUACCCACACUUAGAAGGUUGCGUGUGUUAUCGUUAUCAAGUUAUAGAAACAUCACCAUGCUACCAGAUUCAAUUGGAAAUUUGGUUCAGUUGCGGUAUCUAGAUCUCUCCAACACUAGAAUUGAAACCUUGCCCGAUACAACAUGCAACCUUAGCAAUUUGCAAACCUUGAAUUUAUCAUAUUGCUUUCAUCUCAUUGAAUUGCCAGUACAUAUUGGAAAGUUAAUUAAUUUGCGUCACCUAAAUAUUAGUUGGACGAACAUAAAAGAGAUGCCAACAGAGAUUCUUGGACUAGAAAACCUUCAGACUUUAACAACUUUUGUAGCGGGCAAAAAGGAAGAUGGAUUAAGUGUUAGAGAGCUUGGUAAGUUUCCUAAUCUAAAGGGAAAACUUUGCAUUCAGAAGCUGCAUAAUGUCAUUGAUGUCGUUGAGGCAUAUGACGCCAACUUGAAGAGCAAAGAACAUAUUGAGGAGUUAGUGCUACGAUGGGGCGAACUAACCGAAGAUUCGCAGACUGCGAAAGCUGUACUUGAUGCACUGCAACCAUCAAUAAACUUGAAGAAACUGAGCAUCGACUUCUAUGGUGGAACAAGUAUUCCAAGAUGGUUGGGAGAUUCUUCAUUUUCUAAUAUGGUGACCCUUUUCAUCAGUAAUUGUAUAUAUUGCAUAACACUUCCACCUCUAGGACAGCUACCUUCUCUCAAAAACUUGACUAUUAGAGGCAUGACAUUGGAGACAAUUGGCCCAGAGUUCUAUGGCAUGGUAGAAGGAAGUUCGAAUUCGAAUUCCUCAUUCCAACCAUUUCCAUCUUUAGAGAUUCUACAAUUUCAGAACAUGUUAAAUUGGAAGGAAUGGCUUCCUUUUGUUUGCAACAAAUUUCCUUUUCCUUGUCUUAAAUCUCUUAUGUUAGUCCAGUGUCCUAAACUGAGGGGAUACUUUCCUAGCCAUCUUUUUUCCAUAGAACAAAUUGGAAUAUAUGGUUGUGAUCUUCUCUUGGCAACACCACCUACUCUGCAUUGGAUCUCAUCAAUAAAAACAAUAACAAUUGAGGGAGAUUUAGAUUCUGAAGUGUCGAAUGAAAGGAUCCAAUGGUCGUUUCUUGAUACUGAUUCUCCGUGUCAGUUGCAGCGUGCAUCGGUCCGUUGUUGUGAUACAAUUUUGUCUCUACCUAAAAUGAUUCUAAGCAGCAUUUGUCUUCAACACUUGGAACUUUAUAAUAUUCCAUAUCUCACUUCAUUUCCAGCAGAUUGUCUACCGACGUCAUUGCAAUUACUUAGAAUUAUUGACUGUGAGAAUUUAACAUUUUUGCCUUCUAAUAUGUGGAGCAAUUAUAUGUCGCUUAUGACAUUGGAGUUAGACAAUAGCUGUAAUACACUUACCACCUUCCCAUUGGAUGGUUUCCCUGUGCUACAAAGUCUUUCCAUCAACGGUUGUAGGAAUCUGGAAUCCAUCUUUAUUUCAGAUAGUCCUUCCCUCGCAACUCUUGAACGUCUGACUCUGGUUGAUCUUCCAAAACUGAAGUUAUUGUUUUGUGAAGGAGCUUGUCUACCUCCCAAUUUAAGAUCAUUUCAUAUAAAAUCCGUGAGAAUAACAACGCCUGUAACUAAAUGGGGUCUCCAACGCCUAACUGCUCUUUCGGAUUUUGGUAUUGGAGGUGAUGAUAUUGUUAAUAGUUUGUUGAUGGAGAAGUUGCUGCCUAUUUCCUUAGUGUCUUUGACUAUCAGUAAUCUCUCUGAAAUGAAAUCAUUAAAAGGAAAUGUGCUUCGACACCUCUCGUCUUUGGAAAGCCUUCACUUUCUGCAUUGUCCACGGCUUGAGUCUCUUCCGGAAGAGACACUGCCUUUAUCUCUUAAGUUACUGAGAAUCACAAAAUGCUGUCUGUUAGAAGCAAGGUAUGAAAAUCAGAGAGGGAAACAUUGGUGCAACAUUUCUCAUAUACCUGUCAUAAAAAUAAAUGGCCAAGUGAUAAUAUGAGCAAUGGAAAGGGAAGGAAGCAUUGCACUCCUUUUUCAGGUACCCUUUUCUUUUAUAUCACUAGCUAAGGAUAAUGUUCUUAAUUAUGUAUAUAUUUGUGAGUAUAAUAAUCUUGGAGAUACAUAAUAUUAUUUGCUCAAAGUUAUUUUUGAGGUUUAUAAUGUGAUUCACAAACUGUUGUCACAUGAUUCUUUGUCAUUCUAUUUCUUGCACCUUUGUGUCAAUAUGUUCAAUUGGUAUUUGUUUGUGUUCCAUGUCUUUUUACUACAAGGAAGUAGUGGAUAAUUUCAUUCAAGGAGUUAAUUUAUAUGCAAUGACAAUAUAAAAAUGUUUUACACUGUCUAGUAAUCACAACUGUCAAAUCAAUGGAAAUAUUUGACUUUUACUUUGACCACCUCUAAAGUCACAAAUAUGAUUGGUUGUGAUGGACGACAGUGUGAAACUUGUCGACGUUUGUAUAUUAAUGACACGUAUGUACUAUUAUCACCUUGGCAUAUAUUUGCAUUGGUUUAGAAGUUGUGGCAUUGGAUUAAUUCUUUGAAGAUACUACCAAUCAAUUUGUUCUCAGUAUGGUUUAGGUUGGGUAUGGCUCAUAGUUUACUAAGUGGACGCAUCACUCGAGCGGGCACAAUUGUAAUCUUGUAAAUGCAAAUUGUAAUUUGUAAUCCUAAGCUUGAAUCAUAAUAUAAAGAGAAUGUAAAAUCCCUCAAACAUGCUGUUGUAUCUUAUGCUAGAGGAUUAACUAGAGAUCUUUGAGUUUAUAUCCAUGGAUAUUGAAGAUGCAGAUUUUGUCAUUGCUAGUCUAGACAAUGCAUUUAUAACUA